CUAUAUAGACCAGCAUGGCCUCAAACUUAAGAGACCUGCCUGCCUCUGCCUUCUGAGCGCUGGGACUAAAGGCGUAGGGCCACUACUGCCCUGCUAGACUCCUAUGCUGGGAUUACUGCCACUCGGCUGUCAUGCCCAGCUUAUGUAUUUUAUUUUUGUUCAUUUACAUACAAUAUCAUGGAUGGAUGUAUAUACUUGUUCUGAAAGAGAUCUGUAGCUGGAUGACCCAUCCUAACCUCGGUGUUACACAGAACUGAUACUAUCAUUGGGAGUGGGGUGGGGGAGGGGUGUCUUGAUAAACUGAUACACCAGGAAAGAGAAAGGGGAAGUCACCCAGCCAAGGAACCUCCCCUUUCCUGCCUGCCUGGGAUUUGUUUGUCUUCCAGGGAGACUGUUCCCUGCUGAUAUGGGGGUCUGUGGAGUGUCUAGCUUUGAUUGGCAUCUUUAGUACAGAGGAAGUGAGGAGCCCCCUUCACGUUCAGCUAUUUCCCUCUGGACCAGCAGACUGGAGCCCCUAAUAGAUUCAGUUUCUGGCGCCACUGCUCUGCAAUUUCCCUUUUACAGUGGAGGCUCCCGAUGGCCAGAAAGGAAGCACAGCUCAUUAGCUGUCCAGCUGACCAGAGCUACUACCCUGGCGGGGCUGUGCCAAAGGGACGGAGGACUAACCCAGAUGAAAGUACACUUAGAACGUGCCCAUCCCAGAAGGAACACAUGAUGUUCCAUUUCUAAUCACUGGUUUGAACAAAAUCUUGCUUUGUGAAGGGGAUGAGGGUGUACCGAUUGGGGAGCUCUCCCCGGCUUCAUUGGGGCUGGUAGUCAGAGACAGGACAUGUUAAAACCAAUAUGAUUAUACUGAAAUACAAGCCAAUUAAAGAGGAUUUGAGAAAAUGGUCAA